AAACCAACAGGGAUUGCCUCAGUAACGGCGAGUGAAGCGGCAAGAGCUCAAAUUUGAAAUCCGGCCCCCCUGGGGGCCUGAGUUGUAAUUUGCAGAGGAUGCUUCGGGCGCGACCGCGGUCCAAGUCCCCUGGAACGGGGCGUCGUAGAGGGUGAGAAUCCCGUCUCCGGCCGGCCGGUCUCGCCCGUGUGAAGCUCCUUCGACGAGUCGAGUUGUUUGGGAAUGCAGCUCCAAAUGGGUGGUAAAUUUCAUCUAAAGCUAAAUACUGGUCGGAGACCGAUAGCGCACAAGUAGAGUGAUCGAAAGAUGAAAAGCACUUUGAAAAGAGAGUUAAACAGCAUGUGAAAUUGUUGAAAGGGAAGCGCUUGCGACCAGAGUCGGCCGCGGGGGUUCAGCGGGCAUUCGUUGCCUGUGCAAUCCCCCGCGGCCGGGCCAGCGUCGGUUUCGACGGCCGGUCAAAGGCCCCCGGAAUGUGUCGCCUCUCGGGGCGUCUUAUAGCCGGGGGUGCAAUGCGGCCAGUCGGGACCGAGGAACGCGCUCCGGCACGGACGCUGGCUUAAUGGUCGUCAGCGAC
rnacentral:rRNA from 1 species